rnacentral:rRNA from 1 species
AUUGGACAAUGGGGGCAACCCUGAUCCAGCCAUGCCGCGUGUGUGAAGAAGGCUUUCGGGUUGUAAAGCACUUUCAGCGAGGAGGAAGGCCUUAAAGUUAAUACCUUUAAGGAUUGACGUUACUCGCAGAAGAAGCACCGGCUAACUCCGUGCCAGCAGCCGCGGUAAUACGGAGGGUGCAAGCGUUAAUCGGAAUUACUGGGCGUAAAGCGCGCGUAGGUGGUUUGGUAAGCGAGAUGUGAAAGCCCCGGGCUUAACCUGGGAACGGCAUUUCGAACUGUCAGACUAGAGUGUGGUAGAGGGUAGUGGAAUUUCCUGUGUAGCGGUGAAAUGCGUAGAUAUAGGAAGGAACACCAGUGGCGAAGGCGGCUACC